UCCUGGGGUCUCCUGCAGACCCCUCAGCUGUGCCAUAACCAAACGCCACGUGCGCUAGCUUCCUCACGCCCCAAACUUUGGAAGGCAGGUCACCAUGAAUCUACACAUGGAAGGACAUAGGCAUUGCAUGCAGGUAUCCUGAUUCAUUGAUAUUGGUCUUCAAAUCUGGAAGUUUCCACUUUUGCUAAGUCAUGUGAGGACAUAACCAGAAGGCAUCACCAAUGAAGAAUGGGCCUUCAUCAGACAUCCAAUCUGCAGGCCUCUUGAUCUUGGACUUCCUAACCUACAGAAUUGUGAGUGUUAAAAUUCUGUUUUUAAUAAAUUACCCAUCCUAAAGUAUUUUUUUUAUAGCAGGCCAAACUGAGAUGGAUACUUACACUCGAUAUAGAUUUGCUUUCUACACAAUGCUUAUACCCAAACUGCUAUCUGAGGAAUACAGAUAAUACCUCAUCCAUCAUUAUGGUGUUCCUCAAAGCAUUGCUUUUGAUGAAAAUCUCUCUUUAGAGCAAAUGAAGUGCAGCAAUGGGGAACAUAUUCAUAGAAUUCACUAGUAUUAAUGUGUUUUCCAUAAUCUCGAAACAAGUGGCUUGAUAGAAUGAUGGAACGGCCUUUUGAAAACUCAGCUACAGGAUCAGGUAGACAGAAUUCCUUGCAGCACUGGGGCAACAUUCACCAGGAGUCUGUAUAUGCCCUGAAUCAAUGUUAAAUAUAUGUUGGUGUUUCACGCAUGGCCAGAUUUCACAGGCCCCAAAAUCAAGGGGGGGAAAUGGGAGUGGCAUCACUCAUUAUUAGUAUCCCUAGUGAUGCACUAGCAACAAAUGUUACUUCCUGUCCCUGAAACCUUAA